GCGCGCGUAGCUCAAUUGGAUAGAGCAUCGGUCUACGGAACCGAAGGUUACUGGUUCGAGUCCAGUCGCGCGUG
rnacentral:tRNA from 1 species